rnacentral:rRNA from 1 species
AACGAACGCUGGCGGCAGGCUUAACACAUGCAAGUCGAGCGCCCCGCAAGGGGAGCGGCAGACGGGUGAGUAACGCGUGGGAAUCUACCCAUCUCUACGGAAUAACGCAUGGAAACGUGUGCUAAUACCGUAUACGCCCUUCGGGAGAAAGAUUUAUCGGAGAUGGAUGAGCCCGCGUUGGAUUAGCUAGUUGGUGGGGUAAAGGCCUACCAAGGCGACGAUCCAUAGCUGGUCUGAGAGGAUGAUCAGCCACACUGGGACUGAGACACGGCCCAGACUCCCACGGGAGGCAGCAGUGGGGAAUAUUGGACAAUGGGCGCAAGCCUGAUCCAGCCAUGCCGCGUGAGUGAUGAAGGCCCUAGGGUUGUAAAGCCCUUUCACCGGUGAAGAUAAUGACGGUAACCGGAGAAGAAGCCCCGGCUAACUUCGUGCCAGCAGCCGCCGUAAUAC